rfam:Trichinella sp. T8 scaffold131s, whole genome shotgun sequence.
GUGCAGAAUGAAAGGAGAGCAAGUUAGCACUCCCCUUCACAAGGACGGAGAAUUGUCACACAAGCACAAUGGCAAAGAUCGCCUACCUUUGCGAGAUUUGCUGCCCAUUUUUUUU